rfam:Felis catus isolate Cinnamon breed Abyssinian chromosome X, whole genome shotgun sequence.
GCCUGGGUGGCUCAGUCGGUUAAGUGCCCGACUUUGGCUCAGGUCAUGAUCUCACGGUUUGUGGGUUCGAGCCCCGCCUUGGGCU